rnacentral:rRNA from 1 species
GACGUAGGGCGCGAGCGUUGUCCGGAUUUAUUGGGCGUAAAGAGCUCGUAGGCGGCUUGUCGCGUCGGCUGUGAAAACUCGGGGCUCAACCCCGAGCCUGCAGUCGAUACGGGCAAACUAGAGUGUGGUAGGGGAGACUGGAAUUCCUGGUGUAGCGGUGAAAUGCGCAGAUAUCAGGAGGAACACCGGUGGCGAAGGCGGGUCUCUGGGCCGAUGACUGACGCUGAGGAGCGAAAGCAUGGGUAGCGAACAGG